GUUAGGGACGUCUCGGUGUGUUUUGUGUAUGUGGGCUGAGAAUAGCACACACUAUCGACAUGUGGCGUACCUCCAGUCUGAAGUGUUAAGGCCCUUCUUUAACUCCCCAAUGGCCUCAGCAGAAUAUUUCCGCUCCAUAUGUUUGACAGGCAAUGUGGUUUUACAUGUCUCUGUGCCCUGUGUUCGUGCAGACACUGAGUGAUGUAAAAUCCAGCUGAGGGGAAGAUACAGAAUGUACACUGAACAAGAAUCUAAAUGCAUCACAUAUUAUGAGCUGAAGUUGAAGAUCCCAGAAAUCUUCCAUAUGCACAAAAAAGGUAUUUUCACAAAUGUCUUUACAACCCGGUUAGUGAGCAUUUCCCCAUUACCAAGAUAAUCCGUCCACCUAACAGGUGUGGUACGUUGGGGUGCUGAUCAUUACAAAGUCACAGUUUGUGCUGGGGACAAUAAAAGGCCACUAUUGUUUAUGAUCUUUGUCACACAGCACCAACGCCACAGAUCAUUUGAACUUUGUUUUUGAGAAUUUGACAGUACAUCCAACUGGCCUUAAUACCACAGACCAUGUGUAACCACGCCAGGACAGGACCUCUACAUUUGACUUCUUCUGAGACAAGCCACAUUGACAGCUGAUGAGACUGCAGGUUUGCACAACAGAAAGGUGCACAUUUCAGAGGACAUUGCGGAAACCUUUGGACUCAGAGGACGCUGCAUGCUUGAGUAAUGAAGCAACCUCUACAGAUCUCUGUGCCUCUGGUUCCCAGGGCCUGUCAGCGAUUCUGCUCCUCCAGAACCCUGUAUUCCCAGAUGCUGAGGGUCCAUUCACUGGGAAGAGAAACCAAAUGGCUAGCACACACUGUGUCCCUGAACUUCACGACUGAGACUGAGUCCUCGGACACUUGAGGCCCCAAAUUAGCAGCAGGAUAAACACAUUAAUCAGCUACUCGAAGAUGAGGCUGUAGCCAGCGCAAAAACACAACCACAAGGCAGCCAGGCUGAGACAGCUCAGAAUGCCUUGUUUAACAACAACAGCUCCAGAACAGUCCAGCCGGCCAGUUUGUACAGGCCAUAAAAGGAUGGCACACAUCGGCAGCAGAUGUGAUUGCAUUAAACUAUCUGAUUAAAUGCUGUGCACACUAUUAUUUAGAUUUUUCAUAUUGACACAUUUUACACUGUUUGUUGACAUUUACACCACUAACAUUUUGAAGCAAAAAAAAAAUGUAUUUACCCUAGUGUUAAACACAAUUGUACUCAUGAAAUUGGCUGUUGUGUUAUACAACAAAAAGUUGGGACCCUGUGUAAAAUGUAAAGAAAAAUAGAAUGCAGUGAUGAGUAAAUCAUUUAAACCCUAUAUUCAAUAGAAAUAAAGUACCAAGACAACAUAUCAAAUGGUAAAACUGAGAAAUGUUAUUGUUUCUUGAAUAAUAUAUUUGCUCACUUUGAAUUUGAUGCCAGAAUCACGUUUCAAAAAAGCUGGGACAGGUGAAACAAAAGACUAGAAAAGUUGUGUAAUGCUGAAAAUUUUUCCUGACAUAACAUCUCACAACUACUUAGGUUA
ensembl:lncRNA